rnacentral:rRNA from 1 species
GGUAGUCCACGCCCUAAACGAUGUCAACUGGUUGUUGGGAAUUCACUUUCUCAGUAACGAAGCUAACGCGUGAAGUUGACCGCCUGGGGAGUACGGCCGCAAGGUUGAAACUCAAAGGGAUUGACGGGGACCCGCACAAGCGGUGGAUGAUGUGGUUUAAUUCGAUGCAACGCGAAAAACCUUACCCACCUUUGACAUGUACGGAAUUUGCCAGAGAUGGCUUAGUGCUCGAAAGAGAGCCGUAACACAGGUGCUGCAUGGCUGUCGUCAGCUCGUGUCGUGAGAUGUUGGGUUAAGUCCCGCAACGAGCGCAACCCUUGCCAUUAGUUGCUACGAAAGGGCACUCUAAUGGGACUGCCGGUGACAAACCGGAGGAAGGUGGGGAUGACGUCAAGUCCUCAUGGCCCUUAUAGGUGGGGCUACACACGUCAUACAAUGGCUGGUACAGAGGGUUGCCAACCCGCGAGGGGGAGCCAAUCCCACAAAGCCAGUCGUAGUCCGGAUCGCAGUCUGCAACUCGACUGCGUGAAGUCGGAAUCGCUAGUAAUCGCGGAUCAGAAUGUCGCGGUGAAUACGUUCCCGGGUCUUGUACACACCGCCCGUCACACCAUGGGAGCGGGUUCUGCCAGAAGUAGUUAGCUUAACCGUAAGGAGGGCGAUUACCACGGCAGGGUUCGUGACUGGGGUGAAGUCGUAACAAGGUAGCCGUAUCGGAAGGUGC